rnacentral:rRNA from 1 species
UACGUAGGGUGCAAGCGUUUGUCCGGAAUUAUUGGGCGUAAAGAGCUCGUAGGCGGUUCGUCGCGUCGGCUGUGAAAUCCCCGAGGCUCAACCUCGGGUCUGCAGUCGAUACGGGCGGACUGGAGUUCGGCAGGGGAGACUGGAAUUCCUGGUGUAGCGGUGAAAUGCGCAGAUAUCAGGAAGAACACCCGUGGCGAAGGCGGCUCUCUGGGACGGUACUGACGCUGAGACGCGAAAGCGUGGGGAGCGAACAGG